ACCUGCCCAGCACAAGGGGCUUGAGACCUUGGCCCCAAUCUCCCUGACAACCUGUGUCUCGAUGACUUCCCUUCCUUUUCUCCCCCAUGCUUUUGGUGUAACCAGGAAGAAGCCAGAAGAAUCGAAAACACAUUCCUUUUUUGGCAGUUUAAUAUAAUUUAUUAACUUAUCAGGCCAUUCCAUCCCAAAAUAUGAUUUGACCAGCUUUAAGAGAUGUACAUAACAGCACAAAAAAAAAAAAAAUAACAGAAAAUGGGGAAGUGAAAGCAAAGCCAAAUAAAAUGAAGCCAGGGAUUGGUCCACAAAUUGCAAAACAAAAGGGCCUGUUCAGGUUUUAGAAUUGGACAUUAAAUCCCUGAGGCUCCUGAUGGACAAAAUUUAAUCCAUUUUAAUUUCACAGUCCCUAAGAGGGAAUUAAAAUCAAUUACAAAUGUCUCAUUUCCAUAAAUUAGUUGGUCGAGAAAGGUCCCUGGAGAUGACACCUGUGCUUCUCCAGGACACACCAACCGGGUUUAGCGUGAGCUCCUGCCCCUACUACUGAUGCUGGCGCUCCAGCCUAGCUGGCCUUACCUCUCCAUCUAUUUCUGGGAAACUUCAGGAACAGGGUUGGGUUGGCGACCUCAUACGUGGUCAUGAACAAGCCCUUUCCUCUCAAGUGCUGUCCACAGAGGGAUUCUCUCCUGCCUUGCCCCCUGGGUGAAGUCUGCAGUGGAGGGUUUCAAAGUGUCUCACCACCACUUCCUGCUGGUCCCCAGUGCCUAUAAAUAUGCGGAAGCUUCUCUGUGGUCCACGAAUCCCCCCAAAGCACUGAAGCCAAGUGUGUUCUAUGUGGAAGGAGAAGACUCCUUUCUCCUUUGUGCCACAUUUGUCACCUGCCACCAAGUUAGGGCUCCCUGAGCCCCAGUGACUCGAGAUUCUAGUAGUCACAACUCUGCCAGCCUGGGCCUGUGGCUCCUCUCCUGCUUGGGCUCAGAUACAUCUGUCAUGCUGCUCCAGGACCAGCUUAGAGACUGAUUCUUGUUUUCCUGAUCCCCCUUCCCGUGGCCCUCGCCCUCUAGGGGGCACAAUUUUUAUGGGAUAUUUUUCUACAAUGAAAAUGUAAAAAAAAAAAAAAAAGUGACUUUAGAAAUAAGUAUCAUGUAAUAGCAGGCAUGAUCAGAAGCAUCUUUACACACAAAAAGAAUCACCAACAGCGCCCUCAUUAGAAAAUCAAUGUCUAUGUGACUCCCUAGUCGACUAUAGCAUGUUUAGGUAAAAUUAUCUAAUUGUAUUCUUCUUUUUACUCUUCUAAUGCUCUUGACUUAACCAAGUGGCUCUUAAAACAAAGAAGCUCUCAGCUUUGAGAAGUGGGGGAACCAAACACACACUGAAAAGAACUGGGACCUCUCAAACUCUCUGUCUCUUCCUCCAAGCAGCAUAAAAUGGGGUUACUGGGGUGCAGGCUCCUGUAGGGUUCCUAACAGAGACUAGGUGAGAGAUGCGGCACACGGAGGUGAGGAGAAAGGUCACCCACUCAGCUGCAGCAUGGGGUGGGGGAAGCAACAAUAAGGUAAGGAAGGAACCUGCCUUUGCCCCCCGAAAACAUGCAUUUAUUUGGAGGUAAGUGCAGGCUUGCUGAAAGUCAGAGGGAGGGCAAAAUGAUGCUAAAGACAUGCUAGCAGUAAUAGUGAUGCUGGGAGUGUGAAGAAACAGCCAGGAGCUGUGGGGGAAAAGGAUCCAGUGUCUACCAUCCCAGGCCUCCAGGCCCAUUUCAACUCCCUCCUCUCCUGUAAAGCCUUCCCUGCACUCCCACUGCAUGGAACACUAACCCCUUGUAGCAGAUUGGGGCAGGGGCUUGAGAUUGGUGUUUGCUAUUAACAGGUGGGGGAGCUGAGCAAUGCCCAAAUGGAGGAUGGGAUCAAAACUGAGGUUAAGGGGAGCUUUGGGAGGCUGAGGUGGGAGGAUCGCUUGAGGCCAGGAGUUCAAGACCAGCCUGGGCAACACAAGACCCCCAUCUCCCCCCCAAAAAAAAUGGGGUAAGGGAAUAUUUUGAAUGAUUAAUUUUGACUUUAGAUAUUGACUUCAUUCAGAAAGAGACCUCUCAGGCAGCUGGGUAACUCCAGCCCAACUGGAAAUGCUCUUAGAAGGGAGAAAGUAUUGGCAGAACUGAGUCCAAGAUGAGUCCAAUGGGCAGGUCUCUCCAGGCACGUGCAGGGGAGGCUUGGAUGGGAGUCACUGAGUGUGUACAUCAAUGCACGUGCUGAAUGGGCAGGCCAAGAGCCCCAUGAUGGGUGAUGGUAGACACCGGGGCUUUGAGAUGCCCAGGAGUCACCCAAGCACAGCUGGUUGGCAGGCAGCUGGGAUCCUAAGAGGAGAGGCCACAGCAGGACACAGAUCUGGAAGUCAUUAGCAUCUACACAGAAGAAAAGAGAGAAAGAAAGGAAAAGAAAAAAAGAAGAGAAAGGGAAACAGAGUGAAUGAAGAAGCAAGCCUAGGACAGAACUCUGGAGUACAAAGACCCAGAACAGCCUGGGUGAGGCAAGUUCACCUGCAACACCCACACCCACUCCAGACAUCACUGCCUUCAUUACUUCAAAACUGCACCCCUGUCCCCAAAGGGUGUUACUCCCCUACAGAAAGUGACUCAAUUCUUUUCUGCAGCCCGAAAGCAGAGAGCUAUCCCCACUGGGGGCCCCAGAACAAGAUGAGGCAGGACGGACUACCCAGAGCGCCUGACUACAUUAUUUAGCAUGGAGGGACCCUAGCUGCUUUACUCGGCUUCUGGGAGGAGGCUACAGUGGACAAUAAGGCCAAGGCAGCCAUGACCAUGAGUUCAGCUGCUGAGGUCAAGGCCUUAGAAAAAACCGAGUAUCUGAAAAAGUCUUGGCCCCUCCUUUCCCUGCCCCUACCUUUGGGUCUGCUGCCUCUGGGGGUCUGAGGAAUGGGAGGCCUAAGGUCCUUUAGGUACCUUUUUGUCCCUUCAGAGGAGCCAAUGCCCUUCUUGAGGUGGAGGGUGAAGAAAUCAAGGGGAGGCAGCCAUCUGGGGAGACGAUCCUGCCUUUAGCAGCUCACAUGAUGUAACACCCUCCCAGGGCAGCAUUUGCUGGUUUGGUUUUCCAUAACCAGGGUCUGACCUGUGGCCAGGAAGGCUGAGAAACUGUCCACCCAUUCUGCAGAGUGAAUCUACUUCCCAAGAGCAGAAUCACGCUAGCAAAGCUCAGGGUGUGUAAAACCAGAUGUCAGUUUAUCUGAGCAGCACAGACCUACUGGAGGGCGCCUGGGUGCCCAGCAAGCUCUUGGGUAGACAGCAAGCCUGGAACACUGAAGCCCCCUGAAAGAGUGCUUCUUCCAAAGGAAGUCAGGUAGACAAGGAGGAAGGGACCACCUGGGCCAUUUUCUCACCUGGCCCACACUGGCCUUGCUUUCAUGACUGAACCUCUAUUAAGAUUCAUGAGACAAGAAUGGCAGAUAAUAAACAUCAAAACUGUUCACUAAAGAUAUGAGACACUAACACACUACCAAACCCAGGGGAAAGGGUGACCAAGUGGAGAGAGGACUACCACCUCACAUCCACACAGAGCUCAGCUUGACUUCCACAGUGAGGGCUCCAGAAAACUCAGGGCUACAUGAAGAAUUCAGGGGUCAGUAACAAAGAAGACAGGGUCCAGAACAUGAUGGUAGUGGGUGGGAGUGGGGAAUGGUCUAGAUCUCCUUUGAGGGCCAUCUUCCUCUCCAUUCAGCACUAUCAAGUAGCUCUGUCCUAGGCCCAAUAUUUGAAACUGAAAUUCUUCCUUUCUCAUUAGUUUAACUACUUCGCAUACACAGAUCUCUAGUCCUAGCCUCUCCCCUAGCUGCUAGCCGACAUCCAAAUGCAUAGCAUCACCAUGAUUUCCCUUAAGCACCUCAAGUUCUAGACAUACCAAACUAAACUUCUCAUCUUCUGCCCUCCUGCUCUAUCAGCCUCUCCUCCUUGUGCUCCCAAUUCUGAAUGAGGACAUGCUCUACCCAGUCACCAAAGGCAUUCUAGCUUUCCUCUGAUGUCCUCCCCUCUGCCUCUGAGACCUUUCCCAUUCAUUCCCUCCUCCUCAGUGUCACCACUGCUCUAGUUCAGACCCUAGCCUUUAGCUGAAAUACCACAACAGUGUCCCAAAAGGCCAUCCUAAUUGCAGCAUGUCCAAGUUCCAUUCAGCUGUCAGAUUUCAACCAUGCACAUCUGCUGACUUCUAUCCAGGGUUCAUCCCAUGACCCCUGCCCCGCAGAGAUAACGUGGGCCAGAAAAGGUAAACUGGGAGGGAGUUGACGGUGAUCCUAGUGGGGCUGGUUCUUGGGAAAGGAGGUUCUGAAGCAGGGGAAGGGGUUAAGAAGGGAUAUCACUCUGUGGGAGUAGCAAAUCUCUCCACUGGCUUCCUCACAUGUUAAUAAAAGUUCCAUUCUUCAAGGCUGCUUCACAUCCACUAUCUGAUAGGUACUUCCCCAGCCCAUGAACCAAGCAGGUUAUGAAUACAUCCUAGUGUCAUAAGAGGAUGGCAGGAGGGGGAUUUUCCUUUAAAGUCCUAUGGAAACCGAAGUCCUUGGUCAACAGUUUUAAACCCUUCUAAGGAGAAACUCUGGAGGCCAAAGUGCUGCAAAUGUUAAAACCAUCCUAUGUGAACCUUUCUAACUUAGCCUGUCCAUGUGGGAGGUGAGUCUUAAGGGUCAACAUACAGAAAGCCCUGGGCAGGCCUGGGACAGGAUGGCUCAGGGUAAAAUUGUGCCAAGAACCUGGUACACAGAACAGUGGUCAAGGCCCUCUCAGUAGAUGACCAUAUACACCAGCACCUCCCACCUCAGUCUUGGCAUGGGGACCAAGAACAAAGCUUCUGCUUGCCAAAAGGAAAAGCCAGACAGACAAAAAUGUAGGGACCCCAGGCUUCUGUUAGGGUUAACCUAUGAUCAGCCAAGCAUGGCAAGAAGUAGGACUGUCCCCUGAGAAAAAGAGAACUCUUACAUCCCAUUUCCUUAGCCAAAGCAGUAUCUUAUUGGAAGAAAAAUUACUUAGGCCGCAUAUUUUUCCCAAUCUCAACCCACCUAUAUCUCUCACCCAUAUUAUUGCGAAGAUGGAAACUCACAUCAAGUAUUUUGAUAAUAGCUCAUCCUUGCUCAAAUCACUUCACCAAUUCUGGAUAUCCCAAGUCCUUUAAUCCUUAGGGAUUCUCAGUUUCCAUAUUUGUUUAAAAAAUUCAAA
rnacentral:lncRNA from 10 species